CUAUGCUUACGAUCAUCAUAUGACCCAUUUCAUACUAUUUCAAAAAGGAAUUAAUCUAAAAACAUAAACCAACAAACGAGCAAUGAAACUCGAGUGAUUAACAAGGCCUCAGAAGGAAGGCAGUGGUGGUAUGUAUGCAAUCACAGAUUUAUCAUAUGUGACAAAAUAUACCAAUUCUUUCAUCACUGGACAAGCUACGAAGAAAAACAAAUACUUGUCAGUACAGUGCAAUAAAUAAAUAAAUAAACUGGGCCUCAUAUAGAAGAUUAGAUUGAUCAACAUAGAUAAUUUCAGACAUAUGCUUGUCUUCAAAUGUUGUUCGAUCAUCGGCCGAUUCACAGUUCUAUUAAGAAAAAAACGCUAAAAAAAUUUAAAAAUUAAUUGAGAUUGAAGAAGGGGGACUCGGAAUAUGGGUGGUGAUAUAG
rnacentral:misc_RNA from 1 species